UAUAUAGAUCUAGAUCUAGAUCUAGAUAUAGAUAUAUAUAUAAUGCCUCUAUGUAUAUAAUGUAUAUGUAACUGUGUACAUAGAGUCAAGUAAAACUAGUUACAGGUGUCCCUCUCUGAUGCAUUUUAAAUGUAACUGAUCUGUCUUGAUAGAAAAAAAUGGUUGUAUCAGCAACAAAAUACAAAACUGAAAUUACUUUUAAAAAAUGUAAGCAAAUAAAGUAGACUGUAAACAGUGUUUUUGCCAGUGGUUGUGUUGCAGGCCUUGGAAGACUGGUAGACAGACCCACCAUUUUAAGGGAUACUCAGAGAGAAGGGAAGGCAGUGCUGGAAGCUUGGAGGAAGUGGAGAAUAUACUGUGUGAAGUAUCUGCCAUGUAAAAGCCAUUAAGGCCAUGUGCUGUCUUCUGAGGUUUAUUUCACACCUUUUGACUUCCAGCCUCCACAUGGGACUUGGACUAUCCAUCUAUUUCUUCAAUGUGGGCCUGUGUAUUAUCGAUCCAUCUGGCCUUGGGAUCAGCCCUUAUUGUCUCAUUGACAGAUACAUAAAACAACAGACUUAAAAACUGAGAAGUUCCUGGUUACCAGUGCUAGGGACCCAGUGCUGCCUGCGAGAGAUCAAUUCCUGUAGGACAGAAUCGUUGGGGUUGGAAGGGACCUCUGGAAAUCAUCCAGUCCAACCCCCCAUACAAUGCAGGGUCACCGAGAACAGGAAUGCAUCCAGGUGGGUUUGGAAUGUCUUCACAGGUGGAGACCCCAUGACCUCCCUGGGCAGCUGUUCCAGUGCUCUGCUGCCCUAAAUUUAAACAAGUUCUUCCUCCUGUUGAGGCGAAAUUCCCUGUGUUUCAGUUUAAGACCAGUGGCCCUUAUCCCAUCACUGGGCACCAAUGACAAAGAGUCUUCUCUUCAGACUAAACAGGCCCAGCUCCCACAGUCUGCCCUCAUAAGAGAUGCUCCAGCCCCCUCAUCAUCUUUGCAGCCUCUGCCGGACCCUCUGCAGUAACUCCCGGUCUGGUACUGAGGAGCAGCUGGACACAGCGAUAAGGCUCAGGGCUUAUAAUUAAAUAUGACGAACUUGGCAGUGACGCCGUGGAUUCGACCUACAGGUCUUUUCACCUCUGAAGGACGGGUCACCGCAUCAGCCGGUUAAACCAGGCAGGACUGGCGAGGGUCCCCGGCUCAGCUCUACUCGGUGACCCGGCCUGAGGCGGGCGUAGCUCGGCGGGCACCGCGGCUGGGGGAGCGGAGCGGGGGCCGGGCCGGGCCCGUGAGG